GGCUUUGUAGCUCAGCUGGUACAGCGCUUGCCGCGUAGAGGCAUGGUGUUUCUGUCGUUGGCUUGAAUCCAGCCGAAGCCC
rnacentral:tRNA from 1 species